rnacentral:misc_RNA from 1 species
GGUUUCCGUAGGUGAACCUGCGGAAGGAUCAUUAGCGUUUGCUGAAAAGCUUCCUUCCCCUCUUUUUCUGAGAGGGAAGGGCGGGCUUGUGUCCCCCUUAUCUUGUGCAACGUCGGAGCGUGCUCCAGCGCUCCUUUGGUCGUUCGCAUGAGCUUCGGCCUGGUUUUGGUCGUUCCUGCAUAGGGAUGGGCAGGCUGGGCCAGAGGUGAUGCUGGACGAUUCGGGUUUUUUUUUUUUUUUUAAUCCACACAUAUGAUUAGCCAUCGGAAACGAGGGUUGUUGUAGUCAUGAAUUUUUCUCCUAUUGAAAAAGGGAAAAACAACUUUCAGCAAUGGAUCUCUUGGUUCUCGCAUCGAUGAAGAGCGUAGCAAAUUGCGAUAAUUAAUGCGAAUUGCAUUUCGUGAGUCAUCGAGUUCUCGAACGCACCUUGCACCUUUGGGUAAUCCGAAGGUACGUCUGUUUCAGAAUCAGAUAGAAACCGCACACAACAGAGCGUUGUUGUGGAUUUGGGAGAAAAGUUGCUCAGGUCAGCUUGUCUCCUUAAAAAGAGAGUCUUACCCCAAGGUCGGAGGGCUCUGUUCCGGUAGUUCCUAUUUUACAUUACUGUGAGUAGGGCUCUUACGCGACCGUAACCAAACCUGAUCUGAA